CCCCCCGGUCGCUACGUCCCUGCCCAUGGUUAUACAAGGUAUCUGUCUCCGAUUAUCUUCCUUUCCAAAAACCAUCCCCAGCUGUAUUCCGAAAUCAGACCAGUGUGCCCCAUAUACAGUCAGGGCCGCCGAGAGCUUGGCGGGGGCCCGGGGCAAAACAUUUUUUAGGGGCCCCUAUUGCAAAAAAAAAUUCCGGAAAAAAUUUUUUCGGACAAUAAAUUCUUUUUAGGUGCGUUAUAAUUGCUUUCGUUGGACUUUUCCGCAAUUUUCCAUACCAAAUUUCGGUUCAUUGCCCCAAAACACAAAUAUUUUGGCCCGAAAACAGAAAUA